rnacentral:rRNA from 1 species
CCUACGGGAGGCAACAGUGAGGAAUAUUGGUCAAUGGACGAGAGUCUGAACCAGCCAAGUAGCGUGAAGGAUGACUGCCCUAUGGGUUGUAAACUUCUUUUAUAUGGGAAUAAAACGUUCCACGUGUGGGAUUUUGUAUGUACCAUAUGAAUAAGGAUCGGCUAACUCCGUGCCAGCAGCCGCGGUAAUACGGAGGAUCCGAGCGUUAUCCGGAUUUAUUGGGUUUAAAGGGAGCGUAGGUGGAUUGUUAAGUCAGUUGUGAAAGUUUGCGGCUCAACCGUAAAAUUGCAGUUGAAACUGGCAGUCUUGAGUACAGUAGAGGUGGGCGGAAUUCGUGGUGUAGCGGUGAAAUGCUUAGAUAUCACGAAGAACUCCGAUUGCGAAGGCAGUUCACUGGACUGCAACUGACACUGAGGCUCGAUAGUGUGGGUAUCAAACAGGAUUAGAUACCCCUGUAGUC